rnacentral:rRNA from 1 species
AUUGAACGCUGGCGGCAGGCCUAACACAUGCAAGUCGAACGGUAGCACAGAGGAGCUUGCUCCUUGGGUGACGAGUGGCGGACGGGUGAGUAAUGUCUGGGAAACUGCCCGAUGGAGGGGGAUAACUACUGGAAACGGUAGCUAAUACCGCAUAACGUCUUCGGACAAAGUGGGGGACCUUCGGGCCUCACACCAUCGGAUGUGCCCAGAUGGGAUUAGCUAGUAGGUGGGGUAAUGGCUCACCUAGGCGACGAUCCCUAGCUGGUCUGAGAGUAUGACCAGCCACACUGGAACUGAGACACGGUCCAGACUCCUACGGGAGGCAGCAGUGGGGAAUAUUGCACAAUGGGCGCAAGCCUGAUGCAGCCAUGCCGCGUGUAUGAAGAAGGCCUUCGGGUUGUAAAGUACUUUCAGCGGGGAGGAAGGCGUUAAGGUUAAUAACCUUGGCGAUUGACGUUACCCGCAGAAGAAGCACCGGCUAACUCCGUGCCAGCCGCCGCCGUAA